UCAUGUACAUUACAUUCAACUUGUAAUAUAUCGAUUUCUUACAUUCAUUACAUCAUUUCAUCAUGUCUUUCUUACAUCCCAUUUACCACAAAAUACACAUUACAUUCUUUUCUUUACAUCGUUUACCAUCAUGUACAAAAGAUGAUCAUAGGGUAUUUUACUACAAAAUGAAAACCCAACUUUGGUGGGCUCUGACAAAGGCGCGAUACCUUUACUUCGGUCGCUCGCCGGCUCGCUCGGUCUCGGCUCUGUGGAAAUAGUGGGGUGAGAACUACAACAAAGUUCCCAGUG
rnacentral:lncRNA from 1 species